rnacentral:snRNA from 1 species
CAUCACGACUUAUGAGCCACUAU